rnacentral:rRNA from 1 species
GUGAGGAAUAUUGCGCAAUGGAGGCAACUCUGACGCAGCCAUGCCGCGUGCAGGAAGAAGGCGCUACGCGUUGUAAACUGCUUUUAACCGGGAAGAAACCCCAGGACGUGUCCUGGGUUGACGGUACCGGAGGAAUAAGCACCGGCUAACUUCGUGCCAGCAGCCGCGGUAAUACGAAGGGUGCAAGCGUUAUCCGGAUUCAUUGGGUUUAAAGGGUGCGUAGGCGGAGCGUUAAGUCAUUGGUGAAAUCCUGCAGCUUAACUGUAGACUUGCCAUUGAUACUGGCGCUCUUGAGUGCGCUUGAAGUGGGCGGAAUGUGCCGUGUAGCGGUGAAAUGCUUAGAUAUGGCACAGAACACCAAUUGCGAAGGCAGCUCACUAAGGCGAUACUGACGCUGAGGCACGAAAGCGUGGGGAUCGAACAGGAUUAGAAACCCUGGUAGUCC